CUACGGGUGGCUCCAGUGGGGAAUAUUGCACAAUGGAGGAAACUCUGAUGCAGCAACGCCGCGUGGAGGAUGACACUUUUCGGAGCGUAAACUCCUUUUAUAUAGGAAGAAGAUGACGGUACUCUAUGAAUAAGCGCCGGCUAACUCCGUGCCAGCAGCCGCGGUAAUACGGAGGGCACAAGCGUUACUCGGAAUCACUGGGCGUAAAGAGCGUGUAGGCGGAUUAAAAAGUCAGAAGUGAAAUCCUAUAGCUUAACUAUAGAACUGCUUCUGAAACUCUUAAUCUAGAAUAUGGGAGAGGUAGAUGGAAUUUCUGGUGUAGGGGUAAAAUCCGUAGAGAUCAGAAGGAAUACCGAUUGCGAAGGCGAUCUACUAGAACAUUAUUGACGCUGAGACGCGAAAGCGUGGGGAGCAAACAGGAUUAGAUACCCGAGUAGUC
rnacentral:rRNA from 1 species